ensembl:lncRNA
UUACAUCAUUGCUGCCUGGAGGCUAUGGCAACUAUUUCACCUACCUUUAGAAACUCAUUCAGCAAUUUUUUUUUUUCUACGGAAUGGAUUAAAAGACAGCAUUUUUUGUAAGGUCGGGGAACAAUGUCACUGAUAAAUCAAGCUAAACUUAUCCUGUUCUUUUGGAAUAUUGAAGGACAUGUGAGAACCAUGUAGAAAAAGGCAUUGUUAUAAUAAUGGAUUAUGCAAGAAGGAGAGGAAGGUCAGGUUCAUGUUCUUUUUCCUUCUGUUUAAUUAUAAAGAUCAAAUAAUGCAUAUAUCUCUGGAAAGUAAGAGGGGGAAGUUUCCCAUUCGUGUCAUGAUAGACAUUCAUCUUGUAUCACCCUUUUGUGGGUGAUUCCUCUGAGUCUCCAGCUUCCAGGCAAAGGAGAUCAGGCAAGGAUAACAGCAUCAGAAAAACCUAUGCAAAUAAAUGCCAAGUAAUGAGAGGAAGGGCAGAAAAAGUUCAAAGUGAACAUGUGAGGUCUCCAGUGACUCUUCAAGCAAGGUUACGAGAGCAUUAGCCUUCCUGGUGGCUUAAAGUCCCUUUUCACAGCUGACUAAACAUAAAUGGCACCGGUUUAACAAAGAGACACAGAUGGCAGAACUGAUUAUAGUCCACACCGAAUGAGGAGAUUGAUUCAACAAGCGCAUCACUUCAAAGUGGAAGAUGGCUUCUACUCUGUAAAUGCACAGGAAACAUGAAGCCACGCUGAGGUACCAUUGUAUAACAGAAGUCAACUACAAUGUUCAAACACUCAAAUAUCAUAGACUUACUUUUAAAAGAGAGUCCAAAUGUGGAAGACCGGAGAGAAUCACACCCUGAAAUCAAGGAGCACAUUGGCAAAGCCAGUGCUUCUUAACAGAGAGAAAAAAACAAAACUAUUCUUUACAUCAUCGUCUUAGAUGGCUCAACUUCAGAGGGUUUAGCUUUUAAGACCACACAGAGAAGCAUUUUAGCAUUAGAUUCUGCAUAGCUUUCAACUCUGAGCUGUGACCUUUGGGGAAGCACAGUGGGAGGAGCUUGCAGUAAUAACUCCUGGUAUAUAUAAUGCUUUGGUUUGCUGCAUUUUGUAUAUGAAAAAGCUAUAUAAAAAAACAAAUUACAUUCUUAUUCUGUUUCCCCUCACUGUUCCUCUUUAAUGCAAGAGUGUUCUUAUUGGCUCCAGUAAAAAGGUUCUCAAGUGUGUUUUAGGCAGAAGCAGGAAAUUUGCUUUCCUAGUGGAUCAAACAGAGCUGGCACUAAUGAUACAGCAUAGGGAAAGGGAAAAAAAAAAAAAAAAAAAAAAGAAAAAAAGAAAUGUUUAACACUCAGCACUAGGAGUGAAAACAGAGCACACUUUGAAGAGUUUCCUUGCUGCAGCAUAGCCCUGUGUAGGAGAGUUUCCACAGUCGGAUUCAAAACAUUUUGAAGUUUCUCUGUUUGUUUAAUUUUCAGGUCGAGUUUUGGCACUCUGCUAUGAUUGACACAAUAUAAAAGAAUAAAGGCCCAAACAAGGCAAAAGGAAAAGAAAAAAAAACACCUUAGGAAAGUGUGAGACUCAGUAAAUCAAGCUAAGAAGUAGGCAGUCUGGGUGCCUUAAGGACUGGUGAAAGUUGCAUCUUAGACCACAAGAUGGUUAUCUACAGAUAGGCCUCCUUCUAAUAACCAAAUGUCAUAGCCUAGUUGGGAACUAAGAAAUUAUUUCCUUAAAAUCGAUCCUAAUUAUAGGAUCGAUUAUAGGGCCUGUAAAAAAUAAGAAUAGAGCUAGAAUGCUAAAUGGCAGAGUAAACCAGCGGAAUAGCAUAAACUACCAUUCUGAAAGUUUGUUAUUGAAAUAAUUUAGUUAAUAUGGUUAUUGCCACUGCAAAUGCCUCUCCUCUCAAUCGUGAGUCUCCAAAGAGGAAAUGAAAAACUGGAAAUUCAAACUCCCAAUUUCUUGGCAUUAGAGACUCCCUUUAUUACCAUUUUGGAUUGCACAUACUCUGACAAUUUGUGAACACAUUCUACAAGUUCUAAACUACGGUGCUUCCAUACAGAAGCACAGGCAUACAUUAUAAGUGGAGCCUGAUCAACUGAUCAACCCUGUGAGAAAUGGGAUGGGCACCAGAGAUGGACACUGUCUCCCUGCAGAGAUGUUGCAGCACUUACACUAAGGCAUGCAGAUAGGUGUGGGCUCAUUUAAAAGCGGAGGGUACAAAUGAACACGGCAGUGGGCAGAGUAGCUCAGAUGAAAAUUUCACAGUGUCCAGUGAAAACAGCCUACAGUAGUACCCAGGGAAGAAUAAAUGAACAGCCACAACAUACUAAUAUACUUCCAGUUUAGAUCUUUACCUAGAAACAUCAUUCUAGGAGCUUGCUCCAAAAGUAAUGCCUCCUGUUUUAUUAUGUUGGCUCACAACAUCAGAGGCAGAUGUUGGUGGUACAGCAAGAGGUUGAACCUCCCACCAACAUUCCAUUACAUUUUGCUGCUGUGUUACAGAUGGCAGCAGAGCAACAGUAUGACAAAAUGGCAUCAAACAUGGAAGUGCAUAUUAGACAAAAGCGUGUCAUUGAAUUCCUUCAUGCAAAAAACAGCACCCUUUGACACCCACUGAUGCUUGCUGAACAUUUAUGGGGACCAAACAGUGGAUGUGAGCACGGUCAGGAGGUGGGUGGUAUGUUUCAGCAGUGGUGACAGCGACAGUGUGUCACCCCCACUGGUGCAGACUGCUCUGAGUAUGGCAUAUAGGCUCUUGUUAUUACUGGCGAUCAUGCAAAACCAACGGUGGUGACCAUGCUGAAAAACAGUGCUUGGGGGCUGAGAAUUUGCUCUAUCAAAAAUCGCUAUGUGCUCUUUGUAUUUGUUGUAGUUUCCAUGGACAUAAAUAGGAGGCACUGUUUUGAAGCAAGGAAUCAAUACACUGUAAAAACUUAGAUUUUAAUUUCCAGAAUGAAAAUACUGGAGUUGAUUACGACAGCAUCAGAACAAUAAAAGCCUUAGUGGAGUGGUUCAAAGCAUUAGUAGAUUCUUCUCUCAGCCAAUUCACAGAAUGACUCUAGCCUUUUUAUGACUCAAUUCAAACUUAGCUAGGAAUUUGCACACAGCGAGGCUGUUUUCACCAACAGGGUGAAGGCUUUCUACAUCUCUGUUACAUCAGCCUUGAAGAGAUGACUAGCAGUGAGUAAAUUAUUAUCUUAAGGUGGGGUAGGUUUGGCAGAUUUCCUUUUGGCAAAAUAAAACUGUAUGGUAACACAGCUCUCACUUGGGUGGAGGCAUACCAGGUAGCAGUGGGAAUAGCAGGAAAUGAUGACAAAGAAUCAUACCCGGCUCACCUGUUUGCACUGCCCCAGUCAAUGGAUGCUGAAGCCUUAUGGCAGCUUACCCACUCUUCAGGGAGAUGAAGUGAGGCAAAACUAUUUAUUACUGUUAUGAUCUUCAGUGAAGAAUGGCUACAUAACAAACAGCUGGACAUGUCAUUCCCAAUAUAAAACCCAUCAAACUGAACCUUCCUCAGUUUUGAGCUCUUAGUGAUUCAGCAGCAAAAAUUCCCAGCUAAGACCGUUUUGCGAAAUGGAAUGUUUUGAAGGACAGGGCUGUCUCCUCUUCUGCAUGAUCUCACACAUACAGCUAUAACCACAAACAUCCCUUAAACUGAUUCAGCAACAUCAGCAUCAACAUAAAACGUAUGACAAUGGCCAAAACUAGAACAAUUUCCAUUAAUUAAGAAAACAGUUUAAUGUAGAGGUUGUAAUAUUUUACAUUAUCAGUUACAUUUUAUUCUAUAUGAAUUGAAUGAACCCGCUUUUUUAAAAUUAUAUGUAUAAUAAAUGAUACAUGUCAGUCACAACUUUUCAUCCAUGAUUAAAAAGACUAGUAACUUACUGUGAAUUAUAAAUCUUUUACUUUUUAACUGAUGACUACUUGUGACCAUACUACAGAAACUGUCUGUUUUGAUACUGUGCCUUCACAUAGCUACCAUAUGUCCAUUUGUCUUCAAAUUUACUCCAACUUCUCUUUUUGACAAGAGUCAAUGGAGAGUAUAUUCCUGAAUGUAUUUCAGACUUUUGUAAGGGUUAUGGCACAGUCACAGAAUGGUAAUGUGAUCAUAGCAGAUAUGCCCUAUACAUUCACUUCAAGGGCUGAAUGAACAUUAUCUACCAGAAAGCUCACCCUCAGCCAUAAUUCUACAGAAAUAAAGAGAUUGCAGUUGAAAUUCAUGCUGCCAGAGGAUUUCUAUUCUGUAUUGCCUUCCAUUUCUUCCUUAAAUGAUCAUACAUAAACUCUUUAACUCCUUUUUAAGACAGGAAUAAAUAAGACAGAGAGGAAUUAUGUUUGAAUGGUUGAGGUUUGAUAAUUUAGGCUCUAAAACAGAUUAUGAAGUCCAGAGAAAUACAGAAAGUGCAUUAGGGAAUAUAUAGACAGGAGAUUGUCAAAAAAGAUGAAAGAGAAGGAAUCUUUUGUCAGGUUAUCUUUGCAGUUGGAUUACUACAAGCCAGUAAAAGAAGUGGUAAAAAAUCUCUAUGUAAUAGAAUAUGUAUUUAUGGUUCCUUACCUCACAGCUUAACGUACAGUCCCAUAGCUACUACUUCAGGGGACUGAAGAAGGAGAAAUAACUUUGGUACCUAUGAAACAUUGCCUGCCUUUUUGGAGCAGCCAGCUGGAAUUGGCUAAAAUGCAGAAUGUCACAUCAAAUCUCAUACAGAUGAGAGGUUUGCUUGCUUUCCAGUAGAGAUAACAAUCGUGAUGAGCCAGCAGAACUCAGUCUGCAGCAAUAUGAAAGACAGCAUAUGAACAUUUACUAACUCUGAAUAACAGGAUGAGCCAACCUGCAACUGCACCACACCUUUGCAGGGUCAUGCAUUUAUUUAUUCACUUAUUUUUCCUUUGUAGAACAAUGUCAAGAGUGUGGCCUUUUUCUUUUUAUCUCUUCUGCAACCAACUCAUAGUCUGAGUCCUAACAACCAUGGUUUCAGAGAAUAUGGUGUGCUGGCACCAUGACAGCUUUUCUUUCUCUACAGCCUUGGAGAGCCUGAAAAUUCUCAUCAUUUUUUCAAAAACAGCUAGCUUGAGUGUGAACAAAAUCCUCCACAGAUGGGGGACAAGCUUGGGAAACAGCAGUAUGAGAGGUAAUAUUUUAUAAAGAAAAUGAUGAAUGAUUCCAAGAAAGAAAUUAGGAAGAAAUCAUCUCAGGCUUACGUGUAAAAGCACUGUGAUGUAAUGGAAAAUGUAUCGUGUUAUGGCCUCUGGUUUCAUAACAAAGGGAAAACUGUGAAGCUCAUUUCUGACAAUGUAAAAAAAUAAAACAGAAAGAGUAU